GCCUAGUUAGCUGCGUUGGUAGUGCGUCUGCCUUGUAAGCGCUAGGCCGCGGGUUCGAUUCCCGCCCGGGGCG
rfam:Asian citrus Psyllid, Diaphorina citri - Florida Strain, whole genome shotgun sequence.